rnacentral:rRNA from 1 species
UACAGGGGGUGCAAACGUUGCUCGGAAUCAUUGGGCGUAAAGCGCACGUAGGCGGUUCGUUAUGUCGGAUGUGAAAACCCUUGGCUUAACCGAGGAAGUGCAUCCGAAACUGGCGAGCUAGAGUACGAAAGAGGAUCGCGGAAUUCCCGGUGUAGAGGUGAAAUUCGUAGAUAUCGGGAGGAACACCGGUGGCGAAGGCGGCGAUCUGGGUCGAUACUGACGCUGAGGUGCGAAAGCGUGGGGAGCAAACAGG